rnacentral:sRNA from 1 species
AGUUAACUGUUCCAGCAUAUUGGGUAGCGACAAUAUAAGGCAGUUAAUCUAUGAAUUAGUAGUGGAUAAAGUUCUCCCAAACACUACGAAGUGGCGUAUUUCGACUAAGAAGUACGCCACUU